ACAUUGCGAUGAUGCAAAAGGUGGCUGUUAAAAACAGGGAAUUUUUGCUGAGAAUGUCCGGUUAUAAAUCGGGCGACUG
rfam:Tissierella praeacuta DSM 18095 genome assembly, contig: EK13DRAFT_scaffold00016.16